rnacentral:lncRNA from 1 species
GUGUGAGGGCUAUAUGUGUGAGUGCAAGCUGUGUGUAAGAGUGUGAGUGCGUGUGAGAAAAGGUGUGCACCAGCAUGUGGGGUCCAUGCAACUGUGUAAAAGUGUGAGGUGUGUUUGAGGUGUGUGAGUAUGAGUUUAAGGCACAGGUGAGUGUGAGCUAUACUGUAAGGGUAUGAGACAAGUGUGAAGCAUAAGAGGGAAGUGUGUGAGUCGUGUCUGUGAGCAUGAGUGAUUAUGUGAGUGUAAAGAUGUGUGCGUGCGUAAGGUCUGUGUUAGAGUGAGGGGUAUGUGGUGUUUGAGGUGUGUAUGAGCAUGAAAGAGAGAGAGGUGGGAAAGGGGAGACAGAUGUAUGUGUGUGUGUAUAUGCGUAUGAGCUUGCAUGUGUGUGUAUGUUUGUGAGUAUGCGUGUGUGCAGGAGUCCGGCUGGCCCAGAGCCUGCUGGCUGGGGUCACAGGAAGCUCAUCUGGGGUGAAAUGCCAAGUGCGGAGACCUGUAAAGGCUCCCUUGGUCUUGGAAAGAGGGCCACUCUGGCCUCUGGGCUGCGGCCGGGGGAUUCUCAGUGCUCCGAUCCAUGCCGUCAGGAGCGUGGGCUCCGGGGCAUCUUCACACCAGGCACACACCUGCCUGCUGAGCUCAGAUGAACUGGAAUAUUUGGGGAAACAGCCUACAGUUUCAAGCGUUGAAGGGUCACACCCGGAGGGAGAAUCCAGGCUCUGUAGAGACACUGUGCUCUCAAGCCAGCUGGCCUGGGCCCUGCUCAGAGAUCAGCUCCCCCUGUGCCCACCCCCCACCCCUGUCACUUCCUGCACCUUAGGUAGGGAGGGGCGCCUGGACUGGCUGAACCAUCGCCCUUCUUCCAAGGCACUCAUCCACCGUUCCAGGUCUUCAUGGACUCCAGCUUGCCUUCCACGCUUUUCUCACAUCACUCCCCACUCCCUCGUGCGCUCUGGCGCCAAAUCCCCGCUUCCCCUGAGGCCCAGUUAUUCCAGCAGGCUCCCCAGGACGCCUUCGCAGGCCAGCUCAGCCCUCUGACUUAGGAAGAGGCAAGGAGACUCCUCCCUCCCCCCCGACCCCCCCNNNNNNNNNNNACUGUGGGACAGUACAUUUCUGUUGUUUUUGAAGCCACCAGUCUGCUGUGUUUUGUUAUGGCAGCCCUAGGAAACUCACCUGCCCGACCUGUCUGCGUGCUUUCAUGAGCCGCCUCUUCAGCUCCUGCCUGUGCUCCGCCUCUUGCCUUCGCUUCUGCAGUUGUUUAAUUCCAAUAAGAGGUGCCUGCCCACGCAACUCUUUGAUCUCACCAAGCAGAUUUCUCCAGCUCUCUGGAGCUGGAGGCCUUUGACCUGAGCACUGGUCCUGCUCUGCAGA